rnacentral:rRNA from 1 species
UACGUAGGGUGCAAGCGUUAAUCGGAAUUACUGGGCGUAAAGCGUGCGCAGGCGGUGAUGUAAGACAGAUGUGAAAUCCCCGGGCUCAACCUGGGAACUGCAUUUGUGACUGCAUCGCUGGAGUACGGCAGAGGGGGAUGGAAUUCCGCGUGUAGCAGUGAAAUGCGUAGAUAUGCGGAGGAACACCGAUGGCGAAGGCAAUCCCCUGGGCCUGUACUGACGCUCAUGCACGAAAGCGUGGGGAGCAAACAGGG